UGGUGAUGAUGAUAAAACUUAGGCUUGUUUCUCAAAACAUUCGCAGUUGCAGCCUAAGAGCUUUCGCCCUGCCAGGCUUGAGAGCUAAUGCUGCUAAUUCCUUCCUUGGAUGUCUGAGCCA
rnacentral:snoRNA from 2 species